GACGAACGCUGGCGGCGUGCUUAACACAUGCAAGUCGAACGGAAAGGCCCUGCUUUUGUGGGGUGCUCGAGUGGCGAACGGGUGAGUAACACGUGAGUAACCUGCCCUUGACUUUGGGAUAACUUCAGGAAACUGGGGCUAAUACCGGAUAGGAGCUCCUGCUGCAUGGUGGGGGUUGGAAAGUUUCGGCGGUUGGGGAUGGACUCGCGGCUUAUCAGCUUGUUGGUGGGGUAGUGGCUUACCAAGGCUUUGACGGGUAGCCGGCCUGAGAGGGUGACCGGCCACAUUGGGACUGAGAUACGGCCCAGACUCCUACGGGAGGCAGCAGUGGGGAAUAUUGCACAAUGGGCGGAAGCCUGAUGCAGCAACGCCGCGUGCGGGAAGACAGCCUUCGGGUUGUAAACCGCUUUCGCCUGUGACGAAGCGUGAGUGACGGUAAUGGGUAAAGAAGCACCGGCUAACUACGU
rnacentral:rRNA from 1 species